rnacentral:snoRNA from 1 species
AUCCCAUGGUGAGGGCAAGCCAAGAGGUAUUCUUGGAAGCGCCCCCAUGCCUCAGAGAUUGACUCGUCUUAUGCUUGCUGGAAGUUGGUAAUCUUUCACGAAGGGC